CCGCCUGACCCUCCAUGAUUGAGAGACAUAAAAAUAACGCGAUCCUUCCCCCCAUUGUUUUGACCAUUUUUUGAAGACCUUCAAAUAAACGAGAACAUCUCUUUCCAGGGAUCACAUAGAAAUCGACUCCCCUAGCGUCUUCUUCUUCAUCAUCUCACGCCAACACCACCCCAUCUCCACCCAGAAUAGACCCCUUUCCCAUCAGAUUUUCCUCAUCUUUCUCAUGGAUUUCAGCCGCUGAACAACGCGCGCACACACACAUGGGCUACUGUUUCUUUGAAUUUUCGGUCUAAAAAUGGAGUUUGAUUGAUGUGUUGAGAUUUUAUUUGAGUUUCCAUUGAGGUUUGAUUUGAAAUUAUUAUUCUCUAUUUCCGGUUUAAGUUUCUACCAAAUUGUAUCAAAAUCGGGCUGUUAAAGUCAUGUGAGAUCGUAAUCGAGGUUCCGUUCAUUGACAUCUCUAGUCGUUGCAAUUUAUUCUGUUAUUUUCGGAUCUCUAUUGCUGAGUUUGUAAAACUCUAUGUUGAUAUGAAAGUUUAGAGAUAAGUUGAAUUCUACCUGUGUUUGUUCUUUCUAAUUUCAAUGGUGAUAAGGUGAAUUCUACCUGUUUCGUAGUUUAAAUGCCGUUGAGGUGCGAGAUCUGGGUUAAGCGUUGAUGCCUCUUCAAUAGAGACCUCAUCCGUUUAUUGUUGGCUGAGUUUGAAGAGGUUGGGUUCAAAUUUUCUGCGCCGUCAAGGCCCGAGAUUUUCGUUGAAGUUUAUUGUCUAGUUUCAGUUGAAGUUGUCAGUUUUCUCGAUUCGAGUUCAUCUGUUGUCGAUUUUUAAAUCAGUUCGAAUGAAUUUUUGCUCAAAGGUUCAGUUCCUCCACCUUAUGCUAUGUACUUCUUAAUGGUUUCUACUGUUGUUAUUCCUCUCUAGUUAGAUGUUUUGUUUUGUGAUUUGUUAAAAUAUUGGUUCUCUAGUUUUUUCCCUUUUAAUUGCUUUGCAUGUCCUUUAGAUUUAUUUGAAGUUGAAUUAACGAGAUGCUUAAAAACGUUUGUUGUUCACUUUCGCCAGAUGUGAGCAUGAGUUUGAUGUCAUCGUGUGCCAAAUGAUGAUUGUAUGGUUAUGGAAUUCACGAGUUUGGUUCUACUGUCUUAAGCUGCAGCAUCUCUUUUGGUUAUUUCAUUAGUCUACAUUUUGGUGAUGUAUAUGGCCUCUAUUCUUGAAUAGAUUCAUUAAUUUGUUAUUGGCUAGAUCGAUUCAAGGUUCUUUAGUCAAAGUCGAGAUCAAUGUUGAGGUCUUCGAGUUGAGAAUGUGUCAAAAUAUGUCAACAACUACGGGUGUAUUCAUGUGACGUGGUUUGAGACGUGUUUUUAUGACGUUGCAAUUCAUGUUAACAAAUAUAAUAAUAAAAGCGGUUCAAAAUUAAAAAUGACACAUAAGCUAAAACAUGUUUUGAAAUUAGAUAAAGUCCAAACACAACAGUUGAGCGCCCAUGCUAGAACCACGGAACUCAAGAAUGCCUAACACCUUCUCUCGGGUUAAUAGAAUUUCUUACUCGGAUUCAUGGUUCGCGGACUGUUAGUAGAGUGAUAUGUUCCUCGGUUCGGAUUCAACCAGUGACUUGGGACACCAUUAAUCUCCCAAUUGGCGACUCUAAAAUCUCAGUAAUAAAUCUCGUUUUGAUUGUCCUUUAAUUAGAAAAACUCCUUUACACCCUUGCGGGUAUAGUGAAAAAGGAUAAUAUGGAUAUGUUGACUGGUGCGCUAAUAUCACGUGCGACCCUUCUUCUGAAGAUUGAUUACUAGAUAUUGCAUUGAUGUGAUCCAUACUAAUCAUAAACCUAGGACCUCUAUUCCUUUAUUUUUCUUUCAUCUCUUCUUGUAAAAUUCUUUAAAUCUUUUUCGUAAAAUUCUACCCUCUCUGCUUACUUUUACGAGUUUCAACUUAGUUGCAAUUUUAUAUGCAAGUCUUUAU
rnacentral:lncRNA from 1 species